rnacentral:rRNA from 1 species
AGAGUUUGAUCCUGGCUCAGAUUGAACGCUGGCGGCAGGCCUAACACAUGCAAGUCGAACGGUAACAUUUCUAGCUUGCUAGAAGAUGACGAGUGGCGGACGGGUGAGUAAUGCUUGGGAACUUGCCUUUGCGAGGGGGAUAACAGUUGGAAACGACUGCUAAUACCGCAUAAUGUCUUCGGACCAAACGGGGCUUAGGCUCCGGCGCAAAGAGAGGCCCAAGUGAGAUUAGCUAGUUGGUAAGGUAACGGCUUACCAAGGCGACGAUCUCUAGCUGUUCUGAGAGGAAGAUCAGCCACACUGGGACUGAGACACGGCCCAGACUCCUACGGGAGGCAGCAGUGGGGAAUAUUGCACAAUGGGGGAAACCCUGAUGCAGCCAUGCCGCGUGUGUGAAGAAGGCCUUCGGGUUGUAAAGCACUUUCAGUUGUGAGGAAAAGUUAGUAGUUAAUACCUGCUAGCCGUGACGUUAACAACAGAAGAAGCACCGGCUAACUCCGUGCCAGCAGCCGCGGUAAUACGGAGGGUGCGAGCGUUAAUCGGAAUUACUGGGCGUAAAGCGCACGCAGGCGGUUUGUUAAGCUAGAUGUGAAAGCCCCGGGCUCAACCUGGGAUGGUCAUUUAGAACUGGCAGACUAGAGUCUUG